rnacentral:misc_RNA from 1 species
UCGAUUCAACCCAAAUGAGAGAGGGAGUUGUUCGCAGUUGUGCUGGCCUCCAAUUGGAGGCAUGUGCACGCUCGACUUCUUCUUUUCUUCAUUUACACACACCUGUGAACUUAUUGUAGGGUGUCCCUCAGGAUGCUCUAUGUCUUUUUCAUAUACACCAAUACAUGUUUAUAGAAUGUAGCCUUUUGCUCUCGUCAGAGACAAAAUAAAUCCUUUAUAACUUUCAGCAACGGAUCUCUUGGCUCUCGCAUCGAUGAAGAACGCAGCGAAUUGCGAUAUGUAAUGUGAAUUGCAGAUUUUCAGUGAAUCAUCGAAUCUUUGAACGCAUCUUGCGCUCCUUGGUAUUCCGAGGAGCAUGCCUGUUUGAGUGUCUAUAAAUUCUCAACUCCCUUUGAUUUCUUCAAUGGUGAGCUUGGACCCUGGAGGUAUGCCGGCUGUAAAGUCGGCUCCUCUGAAAUGCAUUGGCAAAGGCGUGUGCAUGAAUUGGCCUUUCGGUGUGAUAAUGAUCACCGUGGCUGGAUUGCUAUAAUGCUUAUGCCUAAUCCUUUCCAUUUGCUUGGAAAAACCCACUUGACCAUUUG